GCUGGGAUCAUGAUCAUAUUAUCAAUUAGAUUGAUGAUUUGGAUCAAUUUGUAAAGAGUUACAAAUUCGAAAACUACUAAUUGUUAGCAUAUGGGACUUAAUUACAAGUGUUGCAAUUUAAUUGGGUCUGAUUAAAUUAUGGAUCAAGCUUUAAUUAAUUUAAAUAAAAUUUAAUUUAAUUAUAUUUGACUUAAUUUAAGGCUAAUUGAAUUUAAUUAUCCAAGUAAGACUGGGAUUACAAUCCUGAUUGGAUCAGGGU
rnacentral:lncRNA from 1 species